UGAGGAAUAUUGGUCAAUGGGCGAGAGCCUGAACCAGCCAAGUAGCGUGCAGGAAGACGGCCCUAUGGGUUGUAAACUGCUUUUAUGUGGGGAUAAAGUGCGUGACGUGUCAUGCAUUGCAGGUACCACAUGAAUAAGGACCGGCUAAUUCCGUGCCAGCAGCCGCGGUAAUACGGAAGGUCCGGGCGUUAUCCGGAUUUAUUGGGUUUAAAGGGAGCGUAGGCUGUUUGUUAAGCGUGUUGUGAAAUGUAAGAGCUCAACUUUUAGAUUGCAGCGCGAACUGGCAGACUUGAGUGCGCACAACGUAGGCGGAAUUCAUGGUGUAGCGGUGAAAUGCUUAGAUAUCAUGACGAACUCCGAUUGCGAAGGCAGCUUACGGGAGCGCAACUGACGCUAAAGCUCGAAGGUGCGGGUAUCGAACAGG
rnacentral:rRNA from 1 species